UUAACUCAAAUUUGUAUACAGUUGGACGUUUGCCUAUGUUUGCCGCUAAGGGCACUGUUCAAACUGCAUUAAAAUUUGAGUUA
rnacentral:pre_miRNA from 1 species